rnacentral:rRNA from 1 species
ACGCGCAGCAUUCUGUAGCAAUACAGGGUGUGGGCGCGUGGCGAACGGGUGCGUAACACGUGGAUAACCUUCCUUGAGGUGGGGAAUAACCCAGUGAAAAUUGGGCUAAUACCGCAUAACAUGACGAUGGCACAUGCUGUUGUCUUCAAAGGCGCAAGUCGCCACAAGAGGGAUCCGCGGCCGAUUAGCUUGUUGGCGAGGUAAUGGCUCACCAAGGCAUUGAUCGGUAGCCGGACUGAGAGGUUGGCCGGCCACACUGGAACUGAGACACGGUCCAGACUCCUACGGGAGGCAGCAGUGGGGAAUCUUGCACAAUGGACGAAAGUCUGAUGCAGCAACGCCGCGUGGGGGAUGAAGCUUCUCGGAGUGUAAACCCCUUUCGACCCGGAAGAAUGCCCGCAAGGGCUUGACGGUACGGGUAUAAGAAGCCCCGGCUAACUACGUGCCAGCAGCCGCGGUAAUACGUAGGGGGCCAGCGUUGCUCGGAAUUACUGGGCGUAAAGGGUCCGUAGGCGGUGCGGCAAGUCGAGAGUGAAAUCCCUAGGCUUAACCUAGGGGCUGCUAGCGAAACUGCCGUGCUAGAGUGUGAGAGAGGCGAGUGGAAUUACGGGUGUAGCGGUGAAAUGCGUAGAUAUCCGUAGGA